GCAAUGGCAGAGGGCACUGUGAUGAUAAUGAAAUCAAAACAAGAAGGAGUUUGCCGAUGCCUGAAUAUAUAAUAAACUGGACUGAUUAGCUCUAUCUUUGGCUUCAUUGGAAAUUCAGCCCUUUCUGUCUACAAAGAUAAGCUGGGGACAAGACCCAUGGCUGUUUGGGGAGGCAGGUACGUGUCCACGUCUGGCAAGAAGAAUACAGUGCAGAACAUCUUAUUGUACGGUACUCACCCUUCGUGCAAUGAUGCGAGGUGAUACAACGUCUACGCCAGGAGACGAAGCGAGGUGGCCGGCGUGGGCGCUAUGGCGCGGCGUUAGGCUGCUACUGACCGUCUGCCAAUUUGUCGGCCGCAGGAUCGAUCCCCUGCUUCCCGACUGCGCUUGGCUGCAGGUACCCGAGACCGCAGAGUGCGAAACCCCAGCUGAAGGACCACUGUCGUUUGCUUCACGCGCUCAAUCUUCUUUCUUUGAUGGAGAUCAAGAGUCUAGAUCUAACACGCACACAUGGAAUGAGAAAAGUGGGCAGUUACACAACUGCGUAUUUGCCCGUGGAAAGGGCCGUCCCGGGAACCUAACAGAAGUCCUGCGGGCCCGUAGGAACAUUCGCUGACUCCUUUCCACGCACGCUGCUGGU